rnacentral:rRNA from 1 species
GACGGAGGGUGCAAGCGUUGUUCGGAAUUACUGGGCGUAAAGGGCGCGUAGGCGGUCUGUUAAGUUCGGUGUGAAAGCCCCCGGCUCACCUGGGGAACUGCGCCGGAAACCGACAGACUCGAGUACCGGAGAGGAGGGUGGAAUUCCUGGUGUAGCGGUGAAAUGCGUAGAUAUCAGGAGGAACACCGGUGGCGAAGGCGACAUCCUGGACCGGUAUUGACGCUGAGGCGCGAAAGCCAGGGGAGCAAACGGG